rnacentral:rRNA from 1 species
GUUUGAUCCUGGCUCAGGAUGAACGCUAGCGGCAGGCCUAACACAUGCAAGUCGAGGGGCAGCACAAGUAGCAAUACUUGGUGGCGACCGGCGCACGGGUGAGUAACGCGUAUGCAACCUACCUUUAACUGGGAGAUAGCCCGAAGAAAUUCGGAUUAAUACCCCAUAUUGUUAUGAAAUCGCAUGACUUUAUAUCCAAAGCUCCGGCGGUUAAAGAUGGGCAUGCGUGCCAUUAGCUAGUUGGUGAGGUAACGGCUCACCAAGGCAACGAUGGUUAGGGGGUCUGAGAGGAUGAUCCCCCACACUGGUACUGAGACACGGACCAGACUCCUACGGGAGGCAGCAGUGAGGAAUAUUGGGCAAUGGGCGCAAGCCUGACCCAGCCAUGCCGCGUGAAGGAUGAAUGCCCUACGGGUUGUAAACUUCUUUUAUACGGGACGAACCACUCCGAUGUGUCGGAGUCUGACGGUACCGUAAGAAUAAGCAUCGGCUAACUCCGUGCCAGCAGCCGCGGUAAUACGGAGGAUGCAAGCGUUAUCCGGAUUUAUUGGGUUUAAAGGGUGCGUAGGCGGGAUAGUAAGUCAGUGGUGAAAGCCUGCGGCUCAACCGUAGAAUUGCCGUUGAUACUGUUAUCCUUGAGUCCAGUUGAGGUGAGCGGAAUGUGUAAUGUAGCGGUGAAAUGCUUAGAUAUUACACAGAACACCAAUUGCGUAGGCAGCUCACUAAGCUGAAACUGACGCUGAGGCACGAAAGCGUGGGGAGCGAACAGGAUUAGAUACCCUGGUAGUCCACGCCGUAAACGAUGAUCACUCGCUGUUGGCGAUACACAGUCAGCGGCCAAGCAAAAGCAUUAAGUGAUCCACCUGGGGAGUACGACCGCAAGGUUGAAACUCAAAGGAAUUGACG